rnacentral:rRNA from 1 species
AAGUUAAUUUUAGAUGCGAGCGAAUUUAUUUAUGUUUUUACUGAUUAAACAAUAUAAUGAAUCAUAAUUAUUUUUGUAACGAGUAUUAGUAUUAAAUCUUAAUUUAAUAUUAGUAUAAGUUUUCAGUAUGGCGGCUACAUAGCAUAAUCUAUGCAGCCAGCCAAUAAUUGGAUUUCCAAUCCAAUUUCGGUAAUAAAUAGAUGUGCAUAGUUAAACCGAUCAUUAAAAUAAUGAAUAGUGUCUAAAGUUAGACCCGAAGCCUGGUGAUCUUACUAUAGUCAGGACUAUAAAGGUCCGAACGGGUUAUCGUUGCAAAGAUAUCCGAAGAACUAUGGUAAGCGAGUGAAAGACAACACUGACUAGGAUA